GAUGAAGAACGCAGCGAAAUGCGACAAGUAAUGUGAAUUGCAGAAUUCCGUGAAUCAUCGAAUCUUUGAACGCACAUUGCGCCCUGUGGUAUUCCGCAGGGCAUGCCUGUUCGAGCGUCAUUUCAACCCUCAAGCUCUGCUUGGUGUUGGGCCCUGCCCGCUGCGGCCGGCCCUAAAGACAGUGGCGGUGCCGCCUGGCCCUGAGCGUAGUACAUCUCUCGCUCCAGUGCCCGGUGGUAGCCUGCCAGAACCCCAACUCUCGUGGUUGACCUCGGAUCAGGUAGGGAUACCCGCUGAACUUAAGCAUAUCAAUAAGCGGAGGA
rnacentral:misc_RNA from 1 species